rnacentral:rRNA from 2 species
UAUCCCAAACCUAAAAUGAGUGAUUUUUUUUUUCGUCAGGAUGAACGCUGGCGGCGUGCUAAUACAUGCAAGUCGAACGAGUUCUCGUUGAUGAUCGGUGCUUGCACCGAGAUUCAACAUGGAACGAGUGGCGGACGGGUGAGUAACACGUGGGUAACUGCCCUUUAAGUGGGGGAUAACAUUUGGAAACAGAUGCUAAUACCGCAUAGAUCCAAGAACCGCAUGGUUCUUGGCUGAAAGAUGGCGUAAGCUAUCGCUUUUGGAUGGACCGCGGCGUAUUAGCUAGUUGGUGAGGUAAUGGCUCACCAAGGCGAUGAUACGUAGCCGAACUGAGAGGUUGAUCGGCCACAUUGGGACUGAGACACGGCCCAAACUCCUACGGGAGGCAGCAGUAGGGAAUCUUCCACAAUGGACGCAAGUCUGAUGGAGCAACGCCGCGUGAGUGAAGAAGGCUUUCGGGUCGUAAAACUCUGUUGUUGGAGAAGAAUGGUCGGCAGAGUAACUGUUGUCGGCGUGACGGUAUCCAACCAGAAAGCCACGGCUAACUACGUGCCAGCAGCCGCGGUAAUACGUAGGUGGCAAGCGUUAUCCGGAUUUAUUGGGCGUAAAGCGAGCGCAGGCGGUUUUUUAAGUCUGAUGUGAAAGCCCUCGGCUUAACCGAGGAAGCGCAUCGGAAACUGGGAAACUUGAGUGCAGAAGAGGACAGUGGAACUCCAUGUGUAGCGGUGAAAUGCGUAGAUAUAUGGAAGAACACCAGUGGCGAAGGCGGCUGUCUGGUCUGUAACUGACGCUGAGGCUCGAAAGCAUGGGUAGCGAACAGGAUUAGAUACCCUGGUAGUCCAUGCCGUAAACGAUGAAUGCUAGGUGUUGGAGGGUUUCCGCCCUUCAGUGCCGCAGCUAACGCAUAAGCAUCCGCAUGGAUUAGCCC